rnacentral:rRNA from 1 species
UGCCAGCAGCCGCGGUAACACGGACCGGACAAACGUUAUUCGGAAUUACUGGGCGUAAAGCGUACGUAGGCGGAUCAGAAAGUAUAGGGUGAAAUCCCGGGGCUCAACCCCGGAACUGCCUUGUAAACUCCUGGUCUUGAGUUCGAGAGAGGUGAGUGGAAUUCCGAGUGUAGAGGUGAAAUUCGUAGAUAUUCGGAGGAACACCAGUGGCGAAGGCGGCUCACUGGCUCGAUACUGACGCUGAGGUGCGAAAGUGUGGGGAGCAAACAGGAUUAGAUA